rnacentral:rRNA from 1 species
AUCUCGCGGACAUCGAUCAUGAGAACGAUCAAGUGCCUUAAGAGCAUUCGGUGGAUGCCUUGGCGCUGAGAGGCGAUGAAGGACGUGAUACGCUGCGAUAAGCCGUGGGGAGCUGCGAAUGAGCUUUGAUCCGCGGAUUUCCGAAUGGGGAAACCCACCUUCGAUCUCUGUUAUUCCAAGGGCAGGCUUUUAGUCUGUGCUUGGGUCUGUCUUCGGACUAACAGAGAUCACAAGAAGGUAUUGAACUCUGAAUACAUAGGGGUUCAAAGCUAACCCAGGGAACUGAAACAUCUAAGUACCUGGAGGAAAGGACAUCAACGAGACUCCGUUAGUAGUGGCGAGCGAACGCGGACCAGGCCAGUGCCUGACUGUAAGUUACCGGAAGUGGUUGGGAAACCACGCAAUAAUGGGUGAUAGCCCCGUACGGAUCUGCGAACAGUUGGGACAUGAGUAAGGCGGGACACGUGAAAUCCUGUCUGAACGUGGGGGGACCACCCUCCAAGCCUAAGUACUCCUCAGCGACCGAUAGUGAACAAGUACCGUGAGGGAAAGGUGAAAAGCACCCCGACGAGGGGAGUGAAACAGCACCUGAAACCGAAUGCUUACAAACAGUGGGAGCUCAAGGUUCGUCCUGGGUGACCGCGUACCUUUUGUAUAAUGGGUCAGCGACUUAAUCUGACGAGCAAGCUUAAGCCGGUAGGUGUAGGCGCAGCGAAAGCGAGUCUGAACAGGGCGUUCAGUUCGUCGGAUUAGACCCGAAACCGGGUGAUCUAGCCAUGAGCAGGUUGAAGGUAAGGUAACACUUACUGGAGGACCGAACCGGUGCCUGUUGAAAAAGUCUCGGAUGACUUGUGGCUAGGGGUGAAAGGCCAAUCAAACUCGGAAAUAGCUGGUUCUCCGCGAAAGCUAUUUAGGUAGCGCCUCGUGUGAAUACUCCGGGGGGUAGAGCACUGGAUGGGUGAGGGGUGCUUACCGCAUUACCAAUCCUAACCAAACUCCGAAUACCCGGAAGUACUGCACGGGAGACACACGGCGGGUGCUAACGUCCGUCGUGGAGAGGGAAACAACCCUGACUUACAGCUAAGGCCCCCAAUUCGUGGCUAAGUGUGAAAGGAUGUGGGAAUCCCAAAACAACCAGGAGGUUGGCUUAGAAGCAGCCAUCCUUUAAAGAAAGCGUAACAGCUCACUGGUCUAAACAAGGGUUCCUGCGCCGAAAAUGUAUCGGGGCUCAAGCCACGAGCCGAAGCUUAAGGUUUGCACUUUGUGCAAGCGGUAGCGGAGCGUUCCAUAAGCCAACGAAGGGAGACCCGUGAGGGCUCCUGGAGGUAUUGGAAGUGCGAAUGCUGACAUGAGUAACGACAAACAGUGUGAAAGACACUGUCGCCGAAAGUCCAAGGGUUCCUGCGUAAAGUUAAUCUCCGCAGGGUUAGCCGGCCCCUAAGGCGAGGCCGAAAGGCGUAGUCGAUGGGAAUGAGGUGAAUAUUCCUCAGCCAGUUGGUAGUGACGGAUCGCGUACGCUGUCGGGUCUUAUUGGAUUGACCCGGCUUCCAAGCGGUUCCAGGAAAUAGCUCCAACAUCAGACCGUACCCGAAACCGACACAGGUGGACUGGUAGAGUAUACCAAGGCGCUUGAGAGAACUAUGCUGAAGGAACUCGGCAAUUUACCUCCGUAACUUCGGGAUAAGGAGGCCCAGUGCUUAGGCAACUAGGCAUUGGGGGCACAGACCAGGGGGUAGCGACUGUUUAACUAAAACACAGGGCUCUGCGAAAUCGUAAGAUGACGUAUAGGGUCUGACGCCUGCCCGGUGCCGGAAGGUUAAAAGGAGGUGUGCAAGCACCGAAUUGAAGCCCCGGUAAACGGCGGCCGUAACUAUAACGGUCCUAAGGUAGCGAAAUUCCUUGUCGGGUAAGUUCCGACCUGCACGAAUGGCGUAACGACUUCCCCGCUGUCUCCAGCAUAGACUCAGUGAAAUUGAAUUCCCCGUGAAGAUGCGGGGUUCCUGCGGUCAGACGGAAAGACCCCGUGCACCUUUACUGCAGCUUUGCGCUGGCAUUCGUGUCGGCAUGUGUAGGAUAGGUGGUAGACUUUGAAGCCGGGGCGCCAGCUCUGGUGGAGUCAUCCUUGAAAUACCACCCUUAUCGUCAUGGAUGUCUAAACCGCGACC